GGGGUUACCAGAGGUUUUUGCGAGAGCGGUUGUUUAGCUUGAAUCUUGGAAAAGUAUUAGUAAUUGCGGGAUCUUUUUACGCUGACUUGAAGAGAGGUUCUCAACGCAAUGCCAAAGUCCACAUCAUCACGCAGCGAUAGACAUGAGCUAUCUGCCGCACAGCCCUCUGUGACCCGGGCAGGGCGCGGCGGUGUGGUGUGGAAAGACGUUGGAGGAGCGGUGAAAACCUUUCGUCGACACUGGCUUCAGAGGCAGACAGUUGAGAAGAACGUUCCCCGACUCGGACCCCCUCAUAAGAAGGAAGAAGUGAGAGGACGGGCAGUGAUGCAGAGAGCACAGGGAGAGGAGAAACACCAGGUCGAAUAGAGA
ensembl:lncRNA